GACGAACGCUGGCGGCGUGCUUAACACAUGCAAGUCGAACGAUGAAGAAAAGAAUUGAAGCUUCGGCAGAAAUUCAUUUCGGAUUAGUGGCAGACGGGUGAGUAACGCGUGAGCAACCUACCUCUUACAAAGGGAUAGCCUCGGGAAACCGGGAUUAAUACCAUAUAACAUUGCGACGAAGCAUUUCGAUGCAAUCAAAGCUACGGCGGUAAGAGAUGGGCUCGCGUCCCAUUAACCAGAUGGUGAGGUAACGGCUCACCAUAGUAACGAUGGGUAACCGGCCUGAGAGGGUGAACGGUCACACUGGAACUGAGACACGGUCCAGACUCCUACGGGAGGCAGCAGUGGGGAAUAUUGCACAAUGGAGGGAACUCUGAUGCAGCGACGCCGCGUGAGUGAUGAAGGAAUUCGUUUCGUAAACCUCUGUUCUAUGGGAAGAAAAGGACUGUACCAUAGGAGAAAGCUCCGGCUAAAUACGUG
rnacentral:rRNA from 1 species